GACGAACGCUGGCGGCGUGCUUAACACAUGCAAGUCGAACGGAAAGGCCCUGCUUUUGUGGGGUGCUCGAGUGGCGAACGGGUGAGUAACACGUGAGUAACCUGCCCUUGACUUUGGGAUAACUUCAGGAAACUGGGGCUAAUACCGGAUAGGAUCUCCUGCUGCAUGGUGGGGGUUGGAAAGUUUCGGCGGUUGGGGAUGGACUCGCGGCUUAUCAGCUUGUUGGUGGGGUAGUGGCUUACCAAGGCUUUGACGGGUAGCCGGCCUGAGAGGGUGACCGGCCACAGUGGGACUGAGAUACGGCCCAGAAUCGUACGGGAGGCAGCAGUGGGGAAUAUUGCACAAUGGGCGGAAGCCUGAUGCAGCAAAGCCGCGUGCGGGAUGAAGGCCUUCGGGUUGUAAACAGAAUUGGACUGUGACGAAGAGUGAGUGACGGUAAUGGGUAAAGAAGCACCGGCUAACUACGUG
rnacentral:rRNA from 1 species